rnacentral:rRNA from 1 species
CGGCGCAGGGUUGAGUAACACGGAUGCGACCUGCCCCCCGCAGGGGGAUAACCGGGAGAAAUCCCGACUAAUACCGCGUAACGCCGCGGGGCUGCAUGGCCCCGCGGCCAAAGGAAGCGAUUCCGGCGGGGGAUGGGCAUGCGGCGCAUUAGCUAGUCGGCGGGGUAACGGCCCACCGAGGCGACGAUGCGUAGGGGUUCUGAGAGGAAGGUCCCCCACACUGGUACUGAGACACGGACCAGACUCCUACGGGAGGCAGCAGUGAGGAAUAUUGGUCAAUGGGCGGGAGCCUGAACCAGCCAAGUCGCGUGAGGGAAGACGGUCCUACGGAUUGUAAACCUCUUUUGCCGGGGAGCAACGGGGUCCUUGCGAGGGUCUGAUGAGAGUACCCGGAGAAAAAGCAUCGGCUACUCCGUGCCAGCAGCCGCGGUAAUACGGAGGAUGCGAGCGUUAUCCGGAUUUAUUGGGUUUAAAGGGUGCGUAGGCGGGCUGUUAAGUCAGCGGUCAAAUGUCGGGGCUCAACCCCGGCCUGCCGUUGAAACUGGCGGCCUCGAGUGGGCGAGAAGUAUGCGGAAUGCGUGGUGUAGCGGUGAAAUGCAUAGAUAUCACGCAGAACUCCGAUUGCGAAGGCAGCAUACCGGCGCCCGACUGACGCUGAGGCACGAAAGCGUGGGUAUCGAACAGGAUUAGAUACCCUGGUAGUC